ACGCUCGACACCUACGGGAGCAGCAGUGGGGAAUAUUGCACAAUGGGGGAAACCCUGAUGCAGCGACGCCGCGUGAGCGAAGAAGUAUUUCGGUAUGUAAAGCUCUAUCAGCAGGGAAGAAACUGACGGUACCUGACCAAGAAGCACCGGCUAAAUACGUGCCAGCAGCCGCGGUAAUCUGAGCGGGCUGGCAAGGC
rnacentral:rRNA from 1 species